AGUCAAUAGAUACCCUGGUAGUCCAUGCCGUAAACGAUGAUUGCUAGGUGUGGGGGGUCUGACCCCUUCCGUGCCGGAGUUAAACACAAUAAGCAAUCCACCUGGGGAGUACGGCCGCAAGGUUGAAACUCAAAGGAAUUGACGGGGGCCCGCACAAGCAGUGGAGUAUGUGGUUUAAAUUCGAAGCAACGCGAAGAACCUUACCAGGUCUUGACAUCCACCGAAUCCUGUAGAGAUACGGGAGUGCCCUUCGGGGAACGGUGAGACAGGUGGUGCAUGGUUGUCGUCAGCUCGUGUCGUGAGAUGUUGGGUUAAGUCCCGCAACGAGCGCAACCCUUGUGAAUAGUUGCUACGAAAGAGCACUCUAUUCAGACCGCCGUUGACAAAACGGAGGAAGGUGGGGAUGACGUCAAAUCAUCAUGCCCCUUAUGACCUGGGCUACACACGUACUACAAUGGCCGUUAACAGAGGGAUGCAAUACCGCGAGGUGGAGCGAACCCCUAAAAACGGUCUCAGUUCAGAUUGCAGGCUGAAACUCG
rnacentral:rRNA from 1 species